GACGAACGCUGGCGGCGUGCUUAACACAUGCAAGUCGAACGGAAAGGCCCUGCUUUUGUGGGGUGCUCGAGUGGCGAACGGGUGAGUAACACGUGAGUAACCUGCCCUUGACUUUGGGAUAACUUCAGGAAACUGGGGCUAAUACCGGAUAGGAGCUCCUGCUGCAUGGGGGGGGUUGGAAAGUUUCGGCGGUUGGGGAUGGACUCGCGGCUUAUCAGCUUGUUGGUGGGGUAGUGGCUUACCGAGGCUUUGACGGGUAGCCGGCCUGAGAGGGUGACCGGCCACAUUGGGACUGAGAUACGGCCCAGACUCCUACGGGAGGCAGCAGUGGGGAAUAUUGCACAAUGGGCGGAAGCCUGAUGCAGCAACGCCGCGUGCGGGAUGACGGCCUUCGGGUUGUAAACCGCUUUCGCCUGUGACGAAGCGUGAGUGACGGUAAUGGGUAAAGAAGCAACGGCUAACUACGUG
rnacentral:rRNA from 1 species